AUUGAACGCUGGCGGCAUGCCUUACACAUGCAAGUCGAACGGUAACAGGUCUUCGGAUGCUGACGAGUGGCGAACGGGUGAGUAAUACAUCGGAACGUGCCUAGUAGUGGGGGAUAACUACUCGAAAGAGUGGCUAAUACCGCAUGAGAUCUACGGAUGAAAGCAGGGGAUCGCAAGACCUUGUGCUACUAGAGCGGCCGAUGGCAGAUUAGGUAGUUGGUGGGAUAAAAGCUUACCAAGCCGACGAUCUGUAGCUGGUCUGAGAGGACGAUUAGCCACACUGGGACUAGGACACGGCCCAGACUCCUACGGGAGGCAGCAGUGGGGAAUUUUGGACAAUGGGCGAAAGCCUGAUCCAGCAAUGCCGCGUGCAGGAUGAAGGCCUUCGGGUUGUAAACUGCUUUUGUACGGAACGAAAAGCCCCGGGUUAAUACCCUGGGGUCAUGACGGUACCGUAAGAAUAAGCACCGGCUAACUACGUGCCAGCCGCCGCCGUAA
rnacentral:rRNA from 1 species